rnacentral:rRNA from 1 species
GACGUAGGGGGCGAGCGUUGUCCGGAAUUACUGGGCGUAAAGGGCGCGUAGGCGGAUUGGAAAGUUGGGGUGAAAUCCCGGGCUCAACCCCCGGAACUGCCCCCCAAAACUUCCAGUCUGGAGUUCGAGAGAGGUGAGUGGAAUUCCGAGUGUAGAGGUGAAAUUCGUAGAUAUUCGGAGGAACACCAGUGGCGAAGGCGACUGACUGGACAAGUAUUGACGCUGAGGUGCGAAAGUGUGGGGAGCAAACAGGAUUAGAUACCCCGGUAGU